UCUUAGAUCUACUCUGAAUCCUGAUGAGUCCUUUUGAACUGGGUUUCAAUUGAAGCUUGAAUUUGUUGCUUUCGGAGAAGCUGCACGUUCUUGCUCUUGACAAAUGGAUGAGAGGAACAUUCCAGAUUAUUGGGAUAUUUU